rnacentral:rRNA from 1 species
GAUGAACGCUGGCGGCGUGCUUAACACAUGCAAGUCGAACGGUGAAGCUCCAGCUUGCUGGAGUGGAUCAGUGGCGAACGGGUGAGUAACACGUGAGCAACCUGCCCCUGACUCUGGGAUAACAGCCGGAAACGGCUGCUAAUACCGGAUAUGCACCAUGAACGCAUGUUCUGUGGUGGGAAAGAUUUUUCGGUUGGGGAUGGGCUCGCGGCCUAUCAGCUUGUUGGUGAGGUAAUGGCUCACCAAGGCGUCGACGGGUAGCCGGCCUGAGAGGGUGACCGGCAACACUGGGACUGAGACACGGCCCAGACUCCUACGGGAGGCAGCAGUGGGGAAUAUUGCACAAUGGGCGAAAGCCUGAUGCAGCAACGCCGCGUGAGGGAUGACGGCCUUCGGGUUGUAAACCUCUUUUAGCAGGGAAGAAGCGAGAGUGACGGUACCUGCAGAAAAAGCGCCGGCUAACUACGU